rnacentral:rRNA from 1 species
GUCGACGGUCUUUUUCGGAAGAUAGUGGCGGACGGGUGAGUAACGCGUGAUAAUCUGGCUUCGGGUUCGGGACAACCACUGGAAACGGUGGCUAAUACCGGAUGUGCCCUAUGGGGUGAAAAGGUUAACUGCCCGGAAGAUGAGCUCGCGUUCCGAUUAGCUWGUAAGGUGUGGUUAAGAGCGCACCUWGGCGACGAUCGGUAGCUKGUCUGAGAAGGACGAUCAGCCACACUGGGACUGAGACACGGCCCAGAYUCCUACGGGAGGCAGCAGUGGGGAAUUUUUCCGCAAUGGGCGAAAGCCUGACGGAGCAAUACCGCGUGAGGGAGGAAGGCUCUUGGGUUGUAAACCUCUUUUCUCAGGGAAGAAUAAGUGACGGUACCUGAGGAAUCAGCAUYGGCUAACUCCGUGCCAGCAGCCGCGGUAAUACGGAGGAUGCAAGCGUUAUCCGGAAUGAUUGGGCGUAAAGCGUCCGUAGGUGGUGGCUCAAGUCUAUUGUCAAAGCGUCUGGCUCAACCAGAUAAAGGCAGUGGAAACUGAGUAACUAGAGUGCAUUCGGGGCAGGGGGAAUUCCUGGUGUAGCGGUGAAAUGCGUAGAGAUCAGGAAGAACACCGGUGGCGAAAGCGCCCUGCUAGGCUGCAACUGACACUGAGGGACGAAAGCUAGGGGAGCGAAUGGGAUUAGAUACCCCAGUAGUCCUAGCCGUAAACGAUGGAUACUAGGCGUUGCGUGUAUCGACCCACGCAGUGCCGUAGCUAACGCGUUAAGUAUCCCGCCUGGGGAGUACGCACGCAAGUGUGAAACUCAAAGGAAUUGACGGGGGCCCGCACAAGCGGUGGAGUAUGUGGUUUAAUUCGAUGCAACGCGAAGAACCUUACCAGGGCUUGACAUGUCCGGAACUUUCCUGAAAGGGGAAGGUGCCUUCGGGAGCCGGAACACAGGUGGUGCAUGGMUGUCGUCAGCUCGUGUCGUGAGAUGUUGGGGUUAAGUCCCGCAACGAGCGCAACCCUCGUUCUUAGUUGCCAGCACGUAGUGGUGGGCACUCUAAGAAGACUGCCGGUGACAAACCGGGAGGAAGGUGGGGGAUGACGUCAAGUCAGCAUGCCCCAUACGUCCKGGGCUACMCACGUACUACAAUGCUUGCGRAMAAAGGGCAGCGAAGACUGCAAAGUUAAGCAAAUCUCACAAAACCGUGGGCUCARUUUCAGAUYSCAAGGCUGCAACCUCSCCYGCGUUGAAGGAGGAAWCSCCUAGUUAAUUGCAGGUCCASCMWACUGCGAGUGAAUUCGUUCCCGGGCCUUGUACACACCGCCCGUCGGGACCAUGGAAGCUGGUCAUGCCCGAAGUCGUUACCCUAACCAUUCGUGGA